rnacentral:rRNA from 1 species
UAUAGGUUUGGUCCCAGCCUUCCUGUUAACUUUCAAUAGACUUAUACAUGCAAGCAUCCACGCCCCGGUGAGUAACGCCCUUCGAAUCACACAGGACUAAAAGGAGCAGGUAUCAAGCACACACUCUUGUAGCUCACAACGCCUUGCUUAACCACACCCCCACGGGAGACAGCAGUAACAAAAAUUAAGCCAUAAACGAAAGUUUGACUAAGCCAUAUUGACCAGGGUUGGUAAAUCUCGUGCCAGCCACCGCGGUCAUACGAUUGACCCAAGCUAACAGGAGUACGGCGUAAAGCGUGUUAAAGCAUCAUACUAAAUAGAGUUAAAUUUUAAUUAAACUGUAAAAAGCCAUAAUUAUAACAAAAAUAAAUGACGAAAGUAACCCUACAAUAGCUGAUACACCAUAGCUAAGACCCAAACUGGGAUUAGAUACCCCACUAUGCUUAGCCCUAAACACAAAUAAUUAU